rnacentral:lncRNA from 1 species
CAAGGGCGUCGCGAGUUAGAGCCCUACCCGACGAGCCGAGCUAGAGGUGCCCUUACAGCAAGUAGUUGUUUUUAGUUGGAGUUCAUGUACAUACAGUUAUUUAACUCGCCAGUGCGAGUAGUUUUGUAUCUUGGAUUUGAUGUAUGUAUAUGGAACUCAGUUUGUUUUUAGUUACUAAUUCUUCUAGCAGCUCUAUACUACUAUUUGUAGUAUUAUAUGUUUUACAGAUACAACUAUCGCUUCGUAUACAGAGAAAAUUCCUUUGUAUACGGCGGAUUUGUCGGCGUGCCCGGGGAACGUGUAAUCCGGGGCGUGACACGAGCCCGACUCCAAACCUGAGACCCGAACCCGAACCCGAACCCGACGGAUUUUAAAAAUCCAUAUCCAAACCCAAACCCGACCAAAAAUCCGAAACCCGAACCCAAACCCGAACCCGAAAAUUUGAACCCGAAAUAAUUAUUUCUUUUUUCAAUAUUUCAAAAUAUAUUAUAUUAAAUCUAAAUUUUUAAAAUACAAAUUCAAAUAUAACAUCAAAUUUUAAUAUAUAUAUAUAUA